UCGCUUUUUUGUUUUUGUUUCCUUUUUUUGCUUUCUUCUUCUUUAACUGUCAGCAUUGAUAGGACUAUCAAAUAAUCCGGUUCAAACAUAAUCACGUGAACAAUAUCCACAGAAUCUUCUACCACCUCAGAUUUAUUUCCUUUAUUUUAACAAUCACAGUAAAAAUAAUAUUUUUUUCUGUACAGAACACGUUGAAUGAAUCUGCGUUCUUGUCUAUUGAAUAUAAGCUUUUGCAAACGACUCCAGCAGAGGAUUUACUCCAGUAACCAACAAGCGGAAAAAGGCACGAGUACAGAUAUGAUGAAGACUUUAAUAAUACCGAUACUGCUCAGUCUGUUAUUUAUCACAGACUGUAAUGCUUACUAUAGCAGCUACAGUAAUUUGCCAUAUCCAGUCAACCGACAUAACAAGCAAAAUUACAAUUGUAAUAACUGCUUCAAGAUACGAAACCUUUGCCGUGAAAACUACAUGCCUUUCUGGUUUUGCCAUGAAACACACUCCAGCUGCUACUAUCGCUUCUGCUAUCAUUAUAAAACCAAUGAUUGGUCUGAGAAUGCGGUACCACUCAAAAGAACUCAUCAGAAUGAAUCAAAUCCAGAUUUACUCGCUUAGUGAACAUAAUAAAAUCAAACAUCAUACUGACAGCCAUGAUGAAAUAGAGUGCGAAGAAAAGGCAUACUUAUUAAGUUGGACUCUCAUAAAACCAACACCUACGCGAAAACCUUUUUAAGAAAUAUCAUGGUAAUUCUAGACAGGAAAUUAGAGAGAAACUAACUGUCACAUUUGCUGUGACAGUUUUAUCGUCAAAGAUAUUGGUUUUAAAAUGAUUUAUGCAAGAAGAAAAAUGCAAAAUAUUUGAAACAUACUUAAAUUUCAUCACAACAUAACAAGUAGAAAAUUGUGAAAAAAUAAAAGACAUUUUAUACAGAUAUCAAUCGUGAAGCAUUUCUAGAUGUCCUACCUUGUCUAUUGUUCGUUUUGAUAUUGUUUUAGUUUUACAAAUAUAGAAGAGUUUGUGAUAGGUUCACGUGAUCAAUAUCUGAAGCAAUGGCUUGAAAUAUGUUAGAAGAUAUCUCCAAAAUUUAGUAGUGCUAACGCUUUGAGGAUGUUAAAGUGAGGUUAUAAAACCACUUCAUUCAAAAUGGUUUUCGCUUCAAUUCCAGUCUCGAAAUUUCAGUGGGAGGCGAUUUUAUUGCAACUUAACUUCAACACUUCAGAAUCACUAUAAUACCAUACUCCUUAACGUCUUAUUGCGGAUAUGUUUAUUGCAUAUUUAAAGAAAGAUACAAUUCCAUGUGUACAUUCAUUUUAGGCCUUAAACAUAUUUUCUAUUAAAUAUGUUGCUGUGGCUGUUCUUACGAAAACACAUUGUUGAAUUAUUAUUAGAUUUAUUUUUCUUUAUUAUUUAUUCUUCUUUUCUCAUCCUUAAAGCAUUUGCAAUAUAUAGAACAGUAUUAGUAUUUUAUCGACAAAUCAACAAAGUUACCAUUCACUAUGUGUUUACUGUGUUAUGUGCGUGUUUACAUAUCCUUAAAAUUUCACGUUUAAUAUUUAUGAUAUCAUGUAUUGUAGAAUACAAACAAAACCCAGCGUCCUUAUAUGUAUAGGAAAUUGUUCAGCUAAAAGCAAAUAGUGAGCUUAUGUUCUACACAACAGAAAUAAAGAUUUCAUUCCUUGGA
rnacentral:lncRNA from 1 species